GAGUUAUCUAUAAUACCAUACAUAGAUAUGACAUCAAAACUUAUACCAAUGUCAGAAAGAAAACUGGUGGUUGCUUAUAAUCUGUACGAGAUCAAUAUAGAAAAGAGCAUCCAACUUGUUCCAAAGCAGAAAGAGUUAUCUAUAAUACCAUACAUAGAUAUGACAUCAAAACUUAUUCCUGUGUUGGAAACGAAACUAAUGCUGGUUCAUAAUCUGAAUGUUGAAAACAUUCCAAAGAGC